GGCAGGGUAGUAUAACAAGUACGUUGGGCUCAUAACUCAUUUAGUGGGGGUAAACCCCUCCCCUGCUG
rnacentral:tRNA from 1 species